rnacentral:tRNA from 1 species
UUGUUAGGGUGGCAGAGCCCAGUAAUUGCGUAAAACUUAAGCUUUUAUUCUCAGAGGUUCAAAUCCUCUUCCUAACAU